AACGAACGCUGGCGGCAUGCCUAACACAUGCAAGUCGAACGAGACCUUCGGGUCUAGUGGCGCACGGGUGCGUAACGCGUGGGAACCUGCCCUUAGGUUCGGAAUAACUCCCCGAAAGGGGUGCUAAUACCGGAUAAUGUCUUCGGACCAAAGAUUUAUCGCCUUUGGAUGGGCCCGCGUUGGAUUAGCUAGUUGGUAGGGUAAAAGCCUACCAAGGCGACGAUCCAUAGCUGGUCUGAGAGGAUGAUCAGCCACACUGGGACUGAGACACGGCCCAGACUCCUCCGGAAGGCAGCAGGGGGGAUAAUUGAACAAUGGGCGAAAGCCUGAUCCAGCAAUGCCGCGUGAGUGAUGAAGGCCUUAGGGUUGUAAAGCUCUUUUACCCGGGAGGAUAAUGACGGUACCGGGAGAAUAAGCUCCGCCUAACUCCGU
rnacentral:rRNA from 1 species